rnacentral:rRNA from 1 species
AGUGAACGCUGGCGGUAGGCCUAACACAUGCGAGUCGAACGGCAGCACAGUAAGAGCUUGCUCUUACGGGUGGCGAGUGGCGGACGGGUGAGGAAUACAUCGGAAUCUACUUUUUCGUGGGGGAUAACGUAGGGAAAUUUACGCUAAUACCGCAUACGACCUACGGGUGAAAGCAGGGGAUCUUCGGACCUUGCGCGAUUGAAUGAGCCGAUGUCGGAUUAGCUAGUUGGCGGGGUAAAGGCCCACCAAGGCGACGAUCCGUAGCUGGUCUGAGAGGAUGAUCAGCCACACUGGAACUGAGACACGGUCCAGACUCCUACGGGAGGCAGCAGUGGGGAAUAUUGGACAAUGGGCGCAAGCCUGAUCCAGCCAUACCGCGUGGGUGAAGAAGGCCUUCGGGUUGUAAAGCCCUUUUGUUGGGAAAGAAAAGCAGCAGGUUAAUACCCCGCUGUUCUGACGGUACCCAAAGAAUAAGCACCGGCUAACUUCGUG